AGAGUUAACUGUCAAUAAGAGAGAAUGAUGGUGUAAGCCUAUGAAAUUUUGGUUGCUUCUAUUUUUACUAAUGUGUAUGCUUAUUGCUUUAAAUUACUCGUCUGUUGGUAUGCUGAUUUUUACAUUCAUUACAGGAAAAGCAAGUAGAUGAAGACAGCAAUUAAGCUUUUGAAUCCAUGUAUGCUAUUCAACCUAAAUGUACUAUGAAUUAAGGGGGGAACUAACAGGAUAUAGGAGUAUGUGCUCAAGACCACCUCCUUGUAUUUCUUGUGAAAAAUGAGCUCAAUUGACCUCUGUUCCGACUUCUCAGUCGCCAUGGAACCGCUGUCAUAGUCAAAAGAUGGUUUCUGGGUUUCAGUACAAAUCAAUUGCCAUCUGAGUUCGAUUCCUUCAAAAACAUCCACAACCAUUUCUCCUUUGCUGACAGUGACUGAGAGGUUCUUCUCUCGCAGGCCUUUGGAAACAUUAAGCCGGCCGACCGAGGGGGUGAUUUUGGUGCGCAAAUAGAGUUCAGAAGCCUGAUAAAUUUGAUUUACAGAGAGCCCAUUGAACUCUUGAAUGACAAGGACCAUUUCAGAAGAGUGACUACCAAGAAGGCCUCCAAGUUUGGAAACGAUCUUCUCUCGGAGUUGUUGGGGUAUGAGCUGGUUGGCCAUGGUCUCAACUUCACUCACCACAGUCCGGACCAGCAUUGCUGAUGCAGCAAAGGUGGUGUAUGUUGAUAAAACUGAGGCAGUUGAAGGCAUACCACUUAGAGAAAACAUGCUUUGGGUUGGGAUAUUGGAAAGAGUAGAAGGGUUGUUGGGGGGUUUCACAAUGCAGAGGGCUUGCUUUGAGUAUAUUUGGCUGCUUGAGUUGUGACCAUGUUAUGUGAAUGGGUUUUUAUAGAGCAGCACUCUGGAGAGAGGAGCUUCCACUGGAAGCUGUUUGA